GUCAAGGGAGGGUUAGCAUAUCACAUCUAGCGAGCAAGUCUAACCAGUUCAUAGAUUUGGAGGGAAAAGCACAGUUUGUUGAGGAGAUCAGCAAUAUGGAGGAGAUAACCGCAGCCUGAACCGUACAUUUCAGAUGGAGCAAGUAGAGAUAAUUACAUAUAUCAAUACAUUUCGAGACGUAGAAAAAGAGAGAGAAACAGAGGAUGACUGUAUCACUCUCCAUACAUAGGAAGAGAAUGCAGUGGGUUGGACAUGGGAAGAUUUACAGAAUAGUUUUGAGAUGAUUUGGUUUUCCCUAACAAAUUAUGUUCAUUCUGACAGUACCUUUUGUAUUCUAAAUGGGAUACAGAACUAAAUUUGAAAUUUUUGUUCUUAAUCAAGCAACUGUUCUUUGUCAUGUCGUCGUCUUGUAAUAUGGAUUUAUGGCUAAGCAUGUGUAUAUAUAUGGAUAAUAUUGGUCAAUAAACACAACCCAAG
rnacentral:misc_RNA from 1 species